CUGCCUUAAGAUGGGGAAUAACUCCUCGAAAGAGGAGCUAAUACCGCAUAAGACCACAGACACUACGGUGUCCGAGGUUAAAAGUGACCUCUAUUUAUAAGUUAUUGUCUUAAGAUGAGUCCGCGUUCCAUUAGCUAGUUGGCGGUGUAAAAGACCACCAAGGCUUCGAUGGAUAGCUGGUCUGAGAGGAUGAUCAGCCACACUGGAACUGAGACACGGUCCAG
rnacentral:rRNA from 1 species